rnacentral:rRNA from 1 species
GAUGAACGCUGGCGGCGUGCCUAAUACAUGCAAGUCGAGCGAACGGACGAGAAGCUUGCUUCUCUGAUGUUAGCGGCGGACGGGUGAGUAACACGUGGAUAACCUACCUAUAAGACUGGGAUAACUUCGGGAAACCGGAGCUAAUACCGGAUAAUAUUUUGAACCGCAUGGUUCAAAAGUAAAAGACGGUCUUGCUGUCACUUAUAGAUGGAUCCGCGCUGCAUUAGCUAGUUGGUAAGGUAACGGCUUACCAAGGCAACGAUGCAUAGCCGACCUGAGAGGAUGAUCAGCCACACUGGAACUGAGACACGGUCCAGACUCCUACGGGAGGCAGCAGUAGGGAAUCUUCCGCAAAGGGCGAAAGCCUGACGGAGCAACGCCGCGUGAGUGAUGAAGGUCUUCGGAUCGUAAAACUCUUUUAUUAGGGAAGAACAUAUGUGUAAGUAACUGUGCACAUCCUGACGGUACCUAAUCAGAAAGCCACGGCUAACUACGUG